ACCCUCUCCUCUCCCCUUCUUCUCGAACCUGACUCCUGUCAGAAUUCGAGAUCCCGAAGCGAGCCUCCCGUGUGCGCCUCCGCUCCCCUCGCAGGAUCAAACCACCAUGCUCUCCCUGGAAUCCUCAGCCAAAACUCAACUAAGCCAGGCCCGAUUCACCACGCGAACAGUGCCCAGGUCAGGCCAGAUCUACAAGAUCCGCACCGAUCCUGCUACGCCUUUCCCGAGGCCGAUGCUCUCGUGAUCUCUCGAGGCCCGCGGAGACUGAGCGGCAUCUCGGCGGCGGCGUGGCAUGCGUAAGCGCUCCAUCCUCCUCGUCGGCGACUGCAUCCUCGUCGGCUUUCAGGGCGAACAGUUCGUUACACCAUAUAAUGGAACCGAGAAGCAUGGUUAUGGCAUCGAAUCGUGCAACUUUGUUGUUCUUGGAUCCCGAUUGAUCUGUCUCUUCAGAGACGGCUCAGACAUUUUUUGUACCAAUCAUUUAAUCAUUACAAACUCCUAAUAACAUGCAUCUUGAAGCUCCAAAGGGGCACACUAACUUUCCCUUUCAGAUGUAUCAACCUAGUAUCAUUGCUUUCUCCAAUAUCUGCAUGUACACGAGGUCACACGCAAGGAGCUUCCAAAUACAACCUGAUGAGCAGUGAGCAGCAACUGACCCAUCUUGGUUAAUAAUGCAGGGUCAUUAGCUGAUUAGCGACUUUUCAACAGAUGCAUUACCAUCGGAACAAUGCAAUAUCUAGAUUAAAAAAUGAGGU